AGAAAACCUCAAAGUCCCUCCACUGCCCCGCUUAUCCCCGAAAAUCCGGCACACAGGGGGACUCGAGGGCAGCGGAUCACAGCUGGAAUCCCACGAUCAGCCGAUGCUCUGGGUUUUCAGAUGUCGCACUGGCUCGUUCCGGGUGAAAGGCAAUUUGGCCCAGUGUCUGCUCCCAGGACUGUUUGAAUUGUGUUCGCAGGAAUGAAAGGGCCGUAUUUCAGUGUUUGUAUCAUCGCAUGACAAGCGGAAGGUUAAGCGGAGAAGCUGAACACCUUCACAAUAAAGCUACUUUUGGUUCACCAGUGGCCACCGAGGGCGAUUUUGAGCGAUCUCUACAGCUCCAGCUGAUCCGCUGACGACGAUGAGGAGAAGAGCGGGCAGGUCGGCAAAAGCAAUCUCUUUGACGGACCCAAGGAAGAGAGGCCUAAAGAUUCAAACUUACAAAAGGUAUGAAAUUGCACUGUUGCCCCCCCCGACCCGCCGCCCCCACCCACCUUCUUACUCAAAGCAUUUGUCUCCUU
ensembl:lncRNA